GACGGAGGAUGCAAGUGUUAUCCGGAAUCACUGGGCGUAAAGCGUCUGUAGGUGGUUUAAAAAGUCUACUGUUAAAAAUUGAAGCUUAACUUCAAAGAUGCCGUAGAAACUUUUAAACUCGAGGAUGGUAGGGGUAGAGGGAAUUUCCAGUGGAGCGGUGAAAUGCGUAGAUCUUGGAAAGACCACCAAUGGCGAAGGCACUCUACUGGGCCAUUACUGACACUAAGAGACGAAAGCUAGGGGAGCAAACAGG
rnacentral:rRNA from 1 species